rnacentral:rRNA from 1 species
UACGGAGGGUGCAAGCGUUAUCCGGAUUCACUGGGUUUAAAGGGCGCGUAGGCGGCCUUCUAAGUCAGACGUGAAAUCCCCAGGCUUAACUUGGGAACUGCCGUUGAUACUAUCUGUCUUGAAUAUCGUGGAGGUUAGCGGAAUAUGUCAUGUAGCGGUUAAAUGCAUAGAGAUGACAUAGAACACCAAUUGCGAAGGCAGCUGGCUACACGGUAAUUGACACUGAGGCACGAAAGCGUGGGGAGCAAACAGG